GUCAGUGGGGUGCAGUGGUUUGAGCGUUGGACUAUGACUCUGGAGACGAGGGUUCAAAUCCCUGCUUUGCCA
rnacentral:tRNA from 1 species